GAUGUGCGUUUCCGUCUGGCUGCUGGUACAGACUGUGGAGGGAGGGCUGCCCAAAUUUCAGUCUGUCGACGGACCGCGAUGAAGUUACACGUUUUUCCGGCAAAGCCGCGUCGUUCCAAUCGUCGAAUCAAACAGCGUCGUUCGCGGGUCAAUUUGUGCAGCUGCUGCUACUCUGUUGAUAGUCCGGGCCGUCGUCGCCGCAGCAGCAGCAUCCCACCAUCGUUACCAAUCGAUAGGAAAUUCGAUUUCAAUUCGAUCGUAAAGCGUCGCGGCGUGUUUUCGUCGGUUGUCGCCGUGCGGGAGGCUAGACGUAGUCGUCGUCGUCAUCGUCGUCGGGAUGUCCGCGGGGCAGAUUACCACUGGGAUACACUUUCCUAAAACGCCGACAAAAGUUUUCGCAACGCAACACAUAUCGGAACUCUAAAACCUGCCAUAUCGGAAAAAGUUUUCCACUGUUUUUCCUCCCGGGAAAACUGAAGAAUUCCCACAUAUCAAAGAGUAUCAUCUAUCGGUCGUCUUCGCUAUCGCCGCACACUUGUGGUGGUAUGAGCGUCUGCCGGGACUGAAGAACAAGUUGUCCUUAAAGUGGAAGACUGCUCCUCCUCUUGCGGGGAGUGAAGUUUGUCUCAAGUUGAAGUUUUCCUCCCACCCCUUCCUUCGCCCCCUGUAGGGGAAAAGUGUGUAUCAAUAGCAAAUUGAGAACUAUUCAUGUUCGUGAAUGCGUGCGGUGUGCUAGUGUUUCCGACUAUUUUUAUGCUCGUCCAACGCUCGGAAGUGAAUGGCAUGUUGAAACCGAGGUAGGAAAUAUGAAACCAAAUUAGACCGUUAGUUCUUACGAGCGGUAGGCACGCGGAAGUGUUUUGGUUUCCAAGUGUGUCCUUCGGUCCGUGUCGUUGGUAGACAGACAGGCGGCUGAUGACGGCUACUGCCGUCCGACACAAGGAUACAGGUCAAUAGUUCAGUGCAACAACAACAACAAUAACAGUAGUAAACUGCAGACGGCAGCUGGGAUUUAGCAUUAUGCUAUGCUACGUUAUGUGCCAGUCGAAAUAUUAUUGAAUUACUGGAGAUCCGGACCCAAAUCGCGGGAAAUGUGCUGAGCAAACAUACACGUGACCUGAAUCAAUCGGCGACGCCUGGUGCUUCCAGUGUGUGCAUGUAAACAAAUACCCACCCGGAAUCAGCACGAAGCAAUCCGGUGGGGGUGUACUUACCAACAAACACCGGACGGUUAAGUGAAGUGAAGUGUUUUCUUUUUGCUUCUCGGAAACAACGCAGGGAUUACGCCGUACGGAUGAAUGCUCGGGAAAACUGAGGGGGGAAAGUGAAGUGGCGGUAAUAAAUCAAUUUCCACACCGAUGCGGAAUGGAGUGGCACUUGGAGAAUCGAAACAGCUGAUUUCGUGAUAAAUAAUAUCCACCAUCAACCGUAUAAACAAAACAAAAACCACCCCAUGAUAAAAGUCACAAAAGCAACCAACUGACCCAAGCAAAACCGUUCUCAUUCACCCACGAAAAAUUGUCGUGAAACGGAACGAAAAGGUCAUCAGUUUGUCAUCGUCGACAGUUUUUUCCAACGACGCCGAAAUGAGUCAGUGAAGCAUGCAGCCGAAAAUAACACCCGAAAAAAAAUUAGGAACGUGACCAAAAUUUGAUACACUCCGAAGAACGGUGCAACAA